AGGGUAGUUUAGUGGUUAAAACGUCAGCCUUGAAAACUGGAGAUCGUUGGUUCGAAUCCAACUCU
rnacentral:tRNA from 1 species